UACGUAGGGUGCGAGCGUGUCCGGAAUUAUUGGGCGUAAAGAGCUCGUAGGCGGUGUGUCACGUCGAUCGUGAAAACUUGGGGCUUAACUCUGAGCUUGCGGUCGAUACGGGGCAUCACUGGAGUUCGGCAGGGGAGACUGGAAUUCCUGGUGUAGCGGUGAAAUGCGCAGAUAUCAGGAGGAACACCGGUGGCGAAGGCGGGUCUCUGGGCCGAUACUGACGCUGAGGAGCGAAAGCGUGGGGAGCGAACAGG
rnacentral:rRNA from 1 species